rnacentral:rRNA from 1 species
UACGUAGGCAGCAAGCGUUGUUCGGAGUUACUGGGCGUAAAGGGUGUGUAGGCGGUUCUUAAGUUUGGUGUGAAAUCUCCCGGCUCAACCGGGAGGGUGCGCCGAAUACUGAGGGACUAGAGUGCGGGAGAGGAAAGUGGAAUUCCUGGUGUAGCGGUGAAAUGCGUAGAUAUCAGGAGGAACACCGGUGGUGUAGACGGCUUCUGGACCGUAACUGACGCUGAGACACGAAAGCGUGGGUAGCAAACAGG